rnacentral:sRNA from 1 species
GCUGAGUUUUGUGGUGCACACCUCUAAUCCUAGCUGCUCAGGAGGCUGAGGCAGGAGGAUCUCUAGAGCCCAGCAGUUCAGGGACCUGGGCAACAGAAGGAGACCCUGCCCCCC